UACGUAGGGUGCAAGCGUUAAUCGGAAUUACUGGGCGUAAAGCGUGCGCAGGCGGUUCUGCAAGUCAGAUGUGAAAUCCCCGGGCUUAACCUGGGAACUGCGUUGAAACUACGGAGCUAGAGUGCGGCAGGAGGGGGGUGGAAUUCCGACGUGUAGCAGUGAAAUGCGUAGAUAUGUGGAGGAACACCGAUGGCGAAGGCAGCCCCCUGGGCCGACACUGACGCUCGGGCACGAAAGCGUGGGGAGCAAACAGG
rnacentral:rRNA from 1 species